rnacentral:misc_RNA from 1 species
CUAAAAAAUAAAAAAUAAAAAAAAGAACAGAAAAGUGGAUUUACAAGUCAUAACCAUGCCUUCAUAAUUGUUAAAAAUAUUGUAAUGCUUAGUCUAUUUUGGUCCAUGUACACAUAAAGGCUACUAUAGGACAAUAUAAUAUACUAAGAGUAGAUGAGAAUGUAGGGUGAUGCUGUAGUCUAAAUAUUGUGAGAAAGGCUUAGAGGCAGACGGGAGAGGAGUAAUGUAAAGGAAUAUAAUAGGACAGGAAUGCGUCUGUGCUGCCACAUGGCACUUUCCAUUAAGAAAAUGGCCUACUAAUUAAUAGUUAUUUCCUAUUAAAGUGUAAUUCUUUCUAUGCAAUUAUUAUUAACUUGAAAAGCAUUAUUAAUACCAUUAUUAUAUCAAUUUUCAUUUUUUAAUUAAUUGCUUCCAUACUUCUAUUUGGUGUUCAAUAAUUUUAAGCAAGCAACAAUAAUUUCAUACUCUAAAUUCCGAUUAACACAACAUAUCACUCUCACCAUAUGUAAAUUUCAUCUCAAGAAUUUAGAGAGCUUGUGACGUAAAAGUCUCAUGAGAAAGUAUCUGAUCAAAGUUUAAGGUCCCAUAUAUUGAAGGUAAAUUAAACCCAUCAAAAUUAAAAUGCGACACAAGUUAUCAAAGUCUUUUGCUAUUAAAACUGCAGUUGUCAAAAUGUUGACAUCACAUUUACUUAUUUCAUUAUUUAAAAAUUAGUUUUUUUAAGAAAAUAUUAGAUAUUUCAUUCAUAUUUAUUUUAAUUUUUAAAUUUCUCUAAUUUUUCUUUUAAAUUUUUUACAUUAAUUUUAUUA